rnacentral:rRNA from 1 species
UACGGGGGGAGCAAGCGUUGUUCGGAUUUACUGGGCGUAAAGGGCGCGUAGGCGGCCACUGCCAGUCGGUUGUGAAAUCUCCGGGCUUAACCCGGAAAGGUCAACCGAUACUGCAGGGCUAGAGUGCAGAAGGGGCAACUGGAAUUCUCGGUGUAGCGGUGAAAUGCGUAGAUAUCGAGAGGAACACCUGCGGCGAAGGCGGGUUGCUGGGCUGACACUGACGCUGAUGCGCGAAAGCUAGGGGAGCGAACGGG